rnacentral:misc_RNA from 1 species
ACCCAACACUGGCACUGCCGUACACUCACCAACAACUACACCCGUGAUACAGUCCGAGGGGCGAAACAACGCCGGUUGACUGCUCAUGGUGUACGGAGAAAGUAAGGAUGCACAACUUGAAGUGAUCCAAACUACAACGGAAGCGCAUUUAACCGGGCCCAAGCCUUAUAUCACAGCCUACUACGGAUAAACAUGGCGGGGAGCAGAAGAGGUCCGCAAAUCCCCCAUGGUUCUACCUGCGAAGCCAUAAAACUAACGAAGCAACGCAACGGACAGUAAAAAUGGCGACUCACGAGGUUUCUAAAAUGCCCACAACACGUACGAUUUCUCAGAACCCUUCGGAAAGGAAGCGUGAGCAGCGAAUACAGAGCCAAAAAGGUGGCAGGGAGAAUCAUUUCCGGACGCGCACAGCACCGCACAGAACUCCUCCUUGUGCUGCGCAACAGCGCACCCGCAAAUUUUCCUGCACGAUGGACCAACUAGGACGGUCAUCAG